rnacentral:rRNA from 1 species
UACGUAGGGUGCAAGCGUUAUCCGGAAUUAUUGGGCGUAAAGAGCUCGUAGGCGGUUUGUCACGUCUGCUGUGAAAACUGGAGGCUCAACCUCCAGCCUGCAGUGGGUACGGGCAGACUAGAGUGCGGUAGGGGAGAUUGGAAUUCCUGGUGUAGCGGUGGAAUGCGCAGAUAUCAGGAGGAACACCGAUGGCGAAGGCAGCUCGCUGGGACGGUACUGACGCUGAGGCGCGAAAGCGUGGGGAGCGAACAGG